AAAUUGAAGAGUUUGAUCAUGGCUCAGAUUGAACGCUGGCGGCAGGCCUAACACAUGCAAGUCGAACGGUAACAGGAAACAGCUUGCUGUUUCGCUGACGAGUGGCGGACGGGUGAGUAAUGUCUGGGAAACUGCCUGAUGGAGGGGGAUAACUACUGGAAACGGUAGCUAAUACCGCAUAACGUCGCAAGACCAAAGAGGGGGACCUUCGGGCCUCUUGCCAUCGGAUGUGCCCAGAUGGGAUUAGCUAGUAGGUGGGGUAACGGCUCACCUAGGCGACGAUCCCUAGCUGGUCUGAGAGGAUGACCAGCCACACUGGAACUGAGACACGGUCCAGACUCCUACGGGAGGCAGCAGUGGGG
rnacentral:rRNA from 1 species